rnacentral:rRNA from 1 species
AGCAGCCGCGGUAAUUCCAGCUCCAAUAGCGUAUAUUAAAGUUGUUGCAGUUAAAAAGCUCGUAGUUGAAUUUCGGGAUCAAGGAAUCGGUCAUGCCUCGGUAUGUACUGGUUUUAUUGGUUCUCACCUUCUAAAGAACCAUAAUGUCAUUUAUUUGAUGUUAUGGGGAAUUAGGACUGUUACCUUGAAAAAAUUAGAGUGUUUAAAGCAAGCUUACGCUUGAAUACAUUAGCAUGGAAUAAUGAAAUAGGACAUCCGAUUCUAUUUUGUUGGUUUCUAGGAUCGAUGUAAUGAUUAAUAGGGAUAGUUGGGGGCAUUAGUAUUCAAUUGUCAGAGGUGAAAUUCUUGGAUUUAUUGAAGACUAACUACUGCGAAAGCAUUUGCCAAGGAUGUUUUCAUUAAUCAAGAACGAAAGUUAGGGGAUCGAAGACGAUCAGAUACCGUCGUAGUCUUAACCCAUAAACUAUGCCGACUAGGGAUCGGAUGAUGUUUAUUUUUAGUGACUCAUUCGGCACCUUAC